AACCCAUCAAAGCCCAAGUCGUGCGAGAAGUGGAGGGUGACCCCAGGGGACCUCUAGAGAGCUAACUUAUAAGACCCUCAGUCUACGAUCGUGAGAAGUGCACACGCUACCUACGUUCACACGUUGCCUCUUGCGUGAAGAUGAAAAGUACACAUACUACAACAUAAAAAUGAGAAAUGCAUAUGCUACAUCUUGCAUA
rnacentral:lncRNA from 1 species